AGUAUUAUAUUUUAAAUGAAAAAUAUUAAAUUGCAAAUUUAAAGAUAGGGCUAUAAUUCUUAAUACUU
rnacentral:tRNA from 1 species